CAGCAACUUCUACGCGUUCUUACCUUUUCAGUUGUGUUCUUGGCUGUUUUGCCUUGAUCAUCUAGUGGGUUACUGUGUUGCAUACCUAAUCUGUGGCAUUGGUCGGCUUGAUUACAUUUUGUUUUCGUAAUGCGUCGCUUGCGUCGUUAACGAACAUUGAAGUGGUCUUUGUGGUCCAUCUUGUUGUUGCCUCUCAAUGAUAUGGUGGCCUACGGAGCGUUGCUUGGCAUCUUGAAUAUGGAAUCCAAUGUGGGCACAGGGUCUUUACUGAUUCUGUUUUUGUCCUCACUGAGCAUUCUGCUUCUCUAAACGACCAUUUCCUUUGCAUUGACAUGUUGAUGCAAGGUGAGCAGUGUCUAAG
rnacentral:misc_RNA from 1 species